rnacentral:rRNA from 1 species
GAUGAACGCUGGCGGCGUGCUUAACACAUGCAAGUCGAACGGAAAGGCUCCUGCUUGCAGGGGUACUCGAGUGGCGAACGGGUGAGUAACACGUGGGUGAUCUGCCCUGCACUUCGGGAUAAGCCUGGGAAACUGGGUCUAAUACCGGAUAGGACGAUGGUUUGGAUGCCAUUGUGGAAAGUUUUUCGGUGUGGGAUGAGCUCGCGGCCUAUCAGCUUGUUGGUGGGGUAAUGGCCUACCAAGGCGUCGACGGGUAGCCGGCCUGAGAGGGUGUACGGCCACAAUGGGGGGGGAGAGCGGGCCGAGCUGCCGCGGGGGGAAGGGGGGGGGAAUUUGGGAAAAGGGGGGGAAGCCUGGAGCCGGCGACCCGGGGGGGGGGAGGGCGCCUUUGGGUUGGAAAACUCUUUGCGCAGGGAAGGAGGCGAAGGGGGGGGACCUUGGGGAAGAAGCACCGCAAAAUUAGGG